UAUCUCUGUAGAGUCUGCAUAUCAAUAAGCGGAGGAAAAGAAACUAACUAGGAUUCCCUUAGUAACGGCGAGUGAAGCGGGAAGAGCUCAAAUUUGAAAUCUUUAAGGUUUUACCUUGACGAAUUGUAGUUUAAAGAAGUGUUUUCUGUUGAAGUUUUGGUAAAAGUUCUUUGGAAUAGGACAUCAUAGAGGGUGAGAAUCCCGUAUUUGACCAGUUACUUUCCAGCUGUUGUGAUACACUUUCAAAGAGUCGGAUUGUUUGGGAAUGCAGUCCAAAAUGGGUGGUAAAUUUCAUCUAAAGCUAAAUAUUGGCGAGAGACCGAUAGCGAACAAGUACCGUGAGGGAAAGAUGAAAAGAACUUUGAAAAUAGAGUUAAACAGUACGUGAAAUUGUCAAAAGGGAAGCGUUUGACACCAGUGUUGUUUUUCUCGAAAAUCAAUUACAAAUGGCUUGAUUUUGUGUUGUAUUGACCUUAUCAAGCUUUCUUCACUUUUUUCGAGUCUUUCUUAAUGCACUUUUCGGUUAACAAGUCAACAUCAAUUUCUUUUGUUGUAAAAGAGUAUUCGGAAGGUGGCUUUCUUUUCGGAGAAAGUGUUUAUAGCCCUAUACUUCUACAAUCGGAGAGAUUGAGGUCUGCAGCGUAGAUCCUUCGGGGUUAGAUACAUUUGUGCUAAGUUAUAGCCUUUCAUAGACAACUUGUUGACUAUGAUCAGUCAUGUAGCUUACUCGCCUAUGCUAUUUUACCUACGCUUAGGAUGUUGAAGAUGUAGCACAUCAU
rnacentral:rRNA from 1 species